rfam:Canis lupus familiaris chromosome 21, whole genome shotgun sequence.
GUGCUCACUUUGGCAGCACAUAUACUAAAACUGGAAUAUUACAGAGAAGAUUAGCGUGGCCUCUGCCCAAAGAUUAUGAAGAAAUACAGAAUUGCUUUAUUCCUUU